GUGAGUAAUGUAUCGCUAAUGUACCCCGGACUUUGGGAUAGCUGCCCGAAAGGGCAGGUAAUACCAGAUGAUAUAAUUUGGCCGCAUGGCCCGAGUUCUCAAAGGUCCGCCGGUCUGGGAGCAGGCGAUAUCGUAUCAGCUAGUUGGUGAGGUAACGGCUCACCAAGGCGACGACGCGUAGCCGGACUGAGAGGUCGGUCGGCCACAUCGGGACUGAGACACUGCCCGGACUCCUACGGGGGGCUGCAGUAACGAAUCUUCCCCAAUGGGCGCAAGCCUGAGGGAGCGACGCCGCGUGUAGGAUGAAGUUCUUCGGAAUGUAAACUACUGUCAGGGGUUACAAAGUUCUGAUCAACCCCAACGGAAGAGGCGGCUAACUCUGUGCCAGCAGCCGCGGUAAGACAGAGGCCUCGAGCGUUAGGCGGAAUCACUGGG
rnacentral:rRNA from 1 species